rnacentral:lncRNA from 1 species
UGUUCUUCACGUCAUGUGGGGAAUCAGUGCCGGUGAUCGGAGGACCACCAAAUCGGGGGCCGGCGGCGACACUCUCUUUUCCUCUUCUUCACCUGAGAAUAUUUCAGAGGAUGCCAUCGAUUUGUGUGGAUGCUCGCGUGACAGUGCACUGGGCCCUGCUUCAUGUUAUUUUCUUCUCUGCGCCACUGGAGAUGUGGGCCGGUGCCCGUCGCUUGAGCUUCCGCCCAGAUGGAUGGCAUUCUUCGGAAAUACUCUCAGAUGAAUACCAAUCUCUAGGAAAAGAAAAAAAAAGGUCAACUUUUUUUGAUCGUUGAUCCCUGAACAAGAUCCUGAAAUCGGAGAGACUGCACACCAUCGGAGCGAGUGCGAGCGUCUUUUACACAUCCCUGAAUGGUCGGUCAUUGACGGCCCUCCUUUCUUCCUCGUAGGCACGCCGCUGAGUUCGAUGCAGCAGCCUCUUCAAGCUUCUUUGCAGCAACCUGGUCUCAGGCGGACCGUCGUUUCGGCCUCCGGAGGCUCGCAUGCUGACCACUACGCGUCACCGCCUUCAGCUGUCGCUCGGCCCCAAGGUCUGGCCUCAUCCUCCAUCCCAAAUUUCCCCUCCGUCCACGCUUCGCCGGCGCAUCUGACGCCAAGCCCGCCGGGGUGCGGUUCCUGUCCGGCGGUUCCGACUCCGCCACGCGGAAGCUUUCGUGCGGCGAGUGAGCGUGCCGCUCCAGGUCCCCAUCUCCGGCCCGUCUGGGCCACCGCUACCACGCCCUAUCGCGCCCCCGGUCCGGGAGCCUCACCGAGCCAGCCGCAACUGCAUCUCCGAGGGCGUCUGCCGAGUAUUUCUGGUUUCCUGGGUAUGACCCGAGGGCUGCCGCCCUUCGCGCACGCGCCGACUGGCGUCGAGCAGGCGCUGCCGUCCCUUGCCGAAGCUGUGACCGCGCCGCCCCCGAUCAUCAGUCUACUGGAUGAUGAUUUGUGAGCUGCCCGGAGAGCGGAGCUGUUUGGGUCGGAGACAGGAGAGGCCCCUGCAGGAAGCGUAGGAAUCGGGGCUCAGCUCUUCUUUCUUGUGCUUCUGGGUUCACAACUGGGAUGUUCUUGCUUGGUCGUUACCUUUUUUAUUAUGGGAGGUCGGAGAGGCGUCACAGUGACAACCACCCGUUUCCGUCUGCGCGUUUUUGGUCCCGUC